ACGUAAUCGAAGUCGGCGGGUGAAUUGGUCUCGAUGCGUUUUAAACUGAACCAAAAGAGGCUCGUAUGUGUCAACGACACGGCGACAUUGUGGACGUAAUUGAUUGCUUCAGAUUAAACGUUGCGUUGAUCGCGAUGUCCCAGGUGCCGCAGUGGCACUGCAUGCGCUACCGCAAGUUCGAGCUGGUGAAACGGUGCAGGGGCUACAAGAACAGCCUCCGAUUAAGGCGUACGUGAACGUAAGCCGCGCAUGUGUUGCGCUAUUUAUUUAUUUAUCGAUGCGGGAGGUGCAAGAACGGAUGCGAAACAAAUAUUUUAUUGUAAAAUCCAGUAGUGCAUAAAAAUAUUGUUAUCAAAGUGUUAAUAAAAUUAAAAUACAAAAUAAACUUCGACGGAUCCCGAGUUUGAAAUGAGAAAAACGAACGGUUCUUUUAUUCCACAAUGACGUUUAACAAAAACCCAACGGUUAUAAAUAAGUACACGUAAAAGGAUUUAUACCACACGCACACGCACGUUAUAUUACCACUGUCGUUUAAAAAAUAAGUUAGCACGUCCAUUUUUUUUUUUUGAUAUUUUGCACAUCCUUCGUGGGGAAUGUUUAAUACGAUCGGCCAUUUUGCGAUCGCAAACGUCCGCGACACUUUCGCGAAAUAAACCGAUCGUAAUCGAUUAUCUUCCUUCCGACAAACACCUAACCUAACAUUUAGGGAGGGGAGGACGGGGAUUUUACACGAAUAUUUACAAUCUCUCGCGGGCUCCCUGAUGCAUUUCGAAAACGCGCAGACAUAAAAAAAAUACGCUUUGGCACCGGAAAAAUUGUGGACUAUUUGCCAGAGUCCAAUGUUUGAUGACAAGGGGAACAUGGGCAACAGUAAGAUAUUGAAAUUAUUAUUAGUUUGUGCUAUUAUUUCACAGAUGUCUUUCCACAUAUGCGCAACUAACUUGAUGCAGUUAAAGGCAUCCCUCGAUGCAGGCUUCUCCAGCGUUUAGUUUAUACCCAAAACUUUUUUGCGUUGAAAACUGUAAUUUUAGCACAAUUAAAAUUAUAACAAAUUAUGCUUCUCAUUUUUAUUAUUAAAACAGUUUAAUAUUGAAAUCAUUUAACGGCAUUUUGUAAACACGAUAUUUGUUCAUUGAUAGUUUAUAUGCAAUAUUUUUGAUAUAAAUCAGUUACGUGUCAUAUUUUUUCAUUGAAACUGUUGAUUGAUAGUUAUUAUUAAAGCAACUGCAUAUUAACGGUUAAUAUAGUAGAAAUUGUUUUUUUUUUCAUUUUAUAUAAAAUAAGAAGUGAAUUGGUGAUGUAAAAUGUUCAUUUGCAGUUUAUAUACAAUAUUUGUGAUAAAAAUCAGUUAAGAACAGCUUGCGUGUGAUAUUGAUCAUUGUUGUUAGUUUUUAUUUUCAAAUGAACUGCAUAUUAAUUAAUAAUAUGGUAAAAAUUGUUUUUUUCCAUUUUAUAUAAAAUAACAAGUGAAUUUGGGAUUGAACUGUUCGUUGGCAUUUCAUAUACAAUAAAUGUAAAUCAGUUAAGAGCCGUUUACGUGUGAUAUUUAUCAUUGGAUCUGUUGAUUUUAUCAAAUAUAACGGUUAAUACGGUAAAAAUUGUUUUUUUUUUGCUUCUUCAUAUAUAAAAUCACAAGUGAAUUUGUAAUGUAAACUGUCCGUCAGCAAUUCAUUAGCUGUUUACGUGUGAUAUUUAUCAUUAAAAUUGUCCAUCGGCGUUUUAUAUAGGAUCACAAAUUACCGAUACUGAUACUUUUGAUAUGAACUGUCAUUAAUAUUAUCAGUUCACUGUCUUAUCUGGCGGGACUUGGCUGGUUUCCGGUAAAACUCUAGUCCCAGGGUAAGUAGGUAAAUAUGGUAGUUUGUAGUUCAAUACGUGAGUAACAGUGAGACAUUAUUUAGUAGGUAACACACCGUGUCUCGGUGUUACCCACAUUUUAGCACGAGUAAAAUUAUGAUAAAUUAUACUUUUUAGUUUUUCCGGAAAAUUGGUUUUAAGUGUCAAUAUUCCUAGAAAUCCACCCAGAAAGGCUAAUGUGGUAAAUUUUUCGGAGGAACAAAUGACAAGUGCAGUAGAAGGAGUUAUGUUUAAGUUUCCAGACACUAUCAAUGUUAUUAUAUAGUAAGACAGACAUGUAAAAAAAGAAGAAAAAAAAACGAAUACAUCGCAGAAAUGCGAUGUAUACAGUGUUUAAUGAAAAUCAAGAAAGUCUUUGGCCGACUAUAUUAUUAAAUGCUCCCAAAUGUUUUAUGGAAUGCCAUUAAUUGAAUGCCGAAAAUCGACCUAGGAAAUGGCACAAAUAAGAUAAAAACUACAAGCAAAUAGCAGGCUUGGAGUGGAUGCGGGGUUUCUUAGAAAAAUCCUAGAAUAUACAAUUUUUUUGAUAAUUGGAUAAACGAUUUUGUGAUGGUACUAGAAUAUUUAAUUUGAACGAAACAGGGACAGAUACUGUUCAAAAAUCAGCGGCUAAAUGAGUCAGUAAAGUCACCGAAUUUCCGAAUUGUUCCUAGAGGUCACCAAUGACACCAAUGCCAAUAAAUAUUACAUCUGCAUUUAAAAAAUGAGGUAUUUCCCUUUUUGACAGUCAGAUGGUUCUUCUGAUUACUUUGAUGUUGAAAUAGAUCCUACAGCAAUUGAAGAACUACACAAAUUUCCUGAGAUUAAUGAUUACGUCCUAGUAGAAUUCUCUCCACAAAACUUAAAAGGAAAACCCAUUUAUUAUAUUGGAAAAAUAUUAUCAUCAAAGAAUCAUGAAUUGGUAAUAACAUUUUUAAAGAAAAGCCUGAAAAUGAAAGGAAAGUUUUAUUUUCCAGAAGUUCCAGAUCUUGCCAUUAUCGCCAGAAGUGAAUGGAAAAACAAAAAGGCAGAAUUCUUAUUAUUCGUUUAAAAUUAAAUUUAACCUGGACCUUCGAUGAAAAUUACCGCUUUUUUACACUUAGCAACCAUUUUGUUGUGUUUCAAUGUGGAUUUUGAAUGUUAACAUAAGUUUUUAAAAUAAAUAAAGACUAGUUAAUAUCGCGUCUCAUAGUACCACGUAACUGUGACAAAUGACAACUUCAUUAUUUGUUAUAAUUUUCAUUCCAAACCACAUACAAAAAUCAAAUUAAAUCGGAUAGACAAAAGAACAGAUUUCUUUUUUUUUGUUUUAAAUAAUAUGAAAAGAAAAAUUAGUGUCCCAGUGUUACCCACCUUCCCCUAAUUUAUUAAAUCCACCCUUUAUAUUUAAGGUUCUUAGGAUUCCGUUGCAUUGAAUUGCUCGAAAUGGCAAUGAAUUUCGAACGACCGCGUACAUAAUUUAUUAAAAUAAAAUUUCCGUCAAAACGGAGUGAAAAUAAUCCAAAGGUUGAGAAAAUUAUUGCCCCAGCGUCUAGAAAAGGCGGUACGUUCUUUUAAACGAGGUCCAACUCGUUUUCUAUUUAAUUUUAUUUAUUUAAAUAAAAACGGAUCCGACCCCCCCCCCCACCCAAUUUAUUUUGGCACGAUUCUCUCUCGCUAGCCCUCUAUCAGCCACCCUAGGCACUUGGCAAUUAAUUUCUAGACAAUUUUUGCGAUAUUUUCGGCAAUAAUUACUUUUCGAGAUAUUUUUGCAAACCGUAGACCAUUUUCGACCAAUCUCGAUGGCUAAUGUAACUUAAAAACUGAAAAAUCAAAAAAUUAUUUUUUUUUUCAUAUUCAAUUCGCGCGACAGGUGAUAAAAAGGAACGUUAUUAGACGGUACCAAGCGUGUCACCGCUACGGUACGUUUGAAAUACUCGAUAGAGUUUUCGUAAUAAUUAUUUUUAUUUUCGCUACUUCACGGUUAAAAUUGGAAAGAAUUUAUUAAAAA